UAAUAUAAUAAUAUAUGUCACAGCUAAUUCAGCUAUCAUAAAUUUUUCUUGCAUAAUAUGACGCUUCAGCUAUAACUAGGCAACAUGAUGCCCAAAUUGAUUAUUGUAUUAUUACUGUAUUGCUAAAAUCAAUUAUUGUAUUACUGUCGUGGUGUUUAUUAGUUACAACCAGAGAUCAUGAUCUCUGGUAAUCGAAUUUGUAUUUAAUCAGAUCACUCUGUCGAAAACCCUGCUUGGUAUUGUUACCACUUUUUUGUUAAAAAAAAAAACACUAAUUCUAUAUAACUUGAUAUAUUUGAGAAAAAACUUUGUUUUUUUGUUAUUAUAUGAUUAGUUUAAAAUGCAUCUGACUAAGCGAUAAGCGAAAUUGUUUACAAAAAUUUUGAAAGCAAAAAAGAAAAGAAAAGAAAUGUUAUCUUUUAUUGCCAAAUAAAUAUCUUGGAUAAAUAAUACCAAAUGAGACAUCAGUUAUCAUAAUUUCUUAUUUUUUAGUUUAACAACAUGCUAACAGUUAUAUUACCGCUGUGUCGUUUAUUGAAAACAACGAGACCUCGUGCCCGAAUCAAAGGUCGUAUAACUGCCAUGUCGUUUAUUAGAAACGACGAGCAAUUAUGAUAAUCCAAUCGGCAGCUAAUCAGAUGACUCUGUCAGAAAAUUAAAUAAAAAAUAUAAUAUAAUUUAACUAAAAUAGAAAUUAAAAUUAAAUAACUUAAUAAUUCUUAUUAUAUAAAUUA
rnacentral:lncRNA from 1 species